UACGGAGGGUGCGAGCGUUAAUCGGAGUUACUGGGCGUAAAGCGUACGUAGGCGGUUUGUUAAGUCGGAUGUGAAAUCCCCGGGCUCAACCUGGGUGCUGCAUUCGAUACUGGCAGACUUGAAUACGGUAGAGGGGGGUAGAAUUCCAGGUGUAGCGGUGAAAUGCGUAGAGAUCUGGAGGAAUACCAGUGGCGAAGGCGGCCCCCUGGACCGAUAUUGACGCUGAGGUACGAAAGCGUGGGGAGCAAACAGGAUUAGAUACCCUGGUAGUCCACGCCGUAAACGAUGUCGACUAGCCGUUGGGGAACUUGAUUUCCCAGUGGCGUAGCUAACGCGCUAAGUCGACCGCCUGGGGAGUACGGCCGCAAGGUUAAA
rnacentral:rRNA from 1 species